GUCCCUCCAGCAGCACCACCACACAGUGACUAGUGUGACCUCUAGACCCCACCGCCGGCACCAGGAAACCUGAAACAGGAAGAGUCAUGAGCCAACACUUAGACUUCUUGCAAUAACUCAAGAACUGAAACUCAUAAACUUAACUUACUCAUGUUUACUCCUGUGUUGGUGGCAGUGCAACUCUGGGGAAAAACAAAUGAUCCAGUUAUCUUUGCGACAGAUAACGCCACCUGAAAAUGCUCGAAGGUGAUGAACGUCUCCAGCAGUUGCUCUUUGGUCAGGCUCUCCUCCACCUCCACUCGCACCACGUCACAGCCGAGCCCACCUGCCUCCUGCUUUGACUGGUGGAGCCAGAGAACCGGAGAGGGAGGGAGGGGAGAUGAGAAGAGACGAGAGAAGAGGUGAGAAGGGAGCACGUCGUCAUGGAAACAAAGGAAAUCUACUACUACUAUGAGCUGAGAGAGAAAUGGAGCAGGAGGAGAAUCUGAAUGAGCAGAGAGGGCUUUUCCAGACGAGUCGCUGCAAUCAGAGAGAGCACGAUCGAGAUCCGGCUGCAGGAGACAUCUUGCUGUUAUGUCGAAGAGGGUUCAAUUGCAGACAUUAAGAAAAUCUAACCUUAAAAUGCAAUGGAAGAAAAAGGGUUUGCCUCCAAAUGCUUUCAUUCUUUCACACUACCACACUGACUUUAUUUGCUCGUAUCAGAUUUCUGCUCCACUGCAGUAAAACACCAUUUGAUGCCUUUACCAUGGAAACACUCCAGACUGAACACUGCAGUGGUUCUGACUGAUUUCUUGAAAACACUACCAAAUGACAAUGUCAUCACAAUUGGUUUGAUAGCUGCGGCUGUGUGUGUGAGUAAUCCACAAACCUCUGACCUGUGGACGUCACCAAGCAGGACGAACGUGUACGACCUGUGGUACGUUUCAUCAUGUUAUAGUGACAUGUUAGUGGUUACUGGUUUACAUCCACUCACAGUUUUAUGGCAUCACACUGUGCAACAGAGUCAAACCCAACCUAAUUUUUAAUCUCAGACACCUUUGAGAUAAAACAAGCUCACAAUUUCAGCUCUCCUGCAGCGGCCCGUUAAGGCCAUGGAAGAAUUUGAACGACUGACAGUUCUCUCCAAAACUACAUCAACAUGAAAUCUUAAUGUGUAUCCAUACCUGUAGUGUGGUUGAUUACUGUUACGCUGACUACUUUAGUUAAAAGGACUGCCAGGUAACUUGUUGCUUGAACAGCAAAUUUCCUCCUGCCUCAUCAGGGCCAGCGAGAAAAAGUCAAAUUCUAUUGACUGACAGAAGUUUAUGCAGCACUUUGAAUAGGAAAGGCGUUGUGGAACCUGACAAUUUGGGGCUUCACCAGUUGUUAAUGGGGAAAAUACCUGCUCUGAUGUGCGUACAUGUUGCAUAUACAUGACAUGCAGAGAUGUGGUUGGAUCCCUUGCUUAUACACAACAAAUGAACUGCGCCACAGUCUGUUAGUCAUAUCCCUUUAUUGGUGGGCAGGGAACGCUGGAAAAAGGGAGGCCUCAACCCCUCCUAUGGCCGACUCUGGUGCUGUUUAUUUGCCCUGGUGCUAUCUGUUGGGGUGAGGGAACGUCCCCGAAACGACUGCUCCAAACGACCUUACUUCACCUGACUGGAUGAACACAUUGCUCACUGUUAUGUCAGAGCUGCUGAACAGGGAGCACGGGUAAAAUGUUUUCUGAACUAUCUCCAAAAGUUUUGUAAUCAUCACUGUUUUAUGUUUAUAACUGAAAUUACUACUUGAACAGUUUUAUCUCUUAGUGCAUUACUGAAAAAUUGGACCAACAUGAAUUUUUCUCUCAUUUGCAUUCUGAGAUGAAUUAUUGCCUGUAAUUGUUGUAUAUCAUGAUCCUUCAUAAGAGGUUGUAGCUUUCAGGCUCGGUG